CUCUGAUCCAUGAAGUACUAGCAGGAGGGGAGACUGCUAGGGCAGAAGCUAGGAGGACUGCAGUGUUUUGGCUCUGCUCCUCAGUGUGGAUGGCACAAAAAUGAAGGCAACACUGUCAAGCCCUUUUGACUACAGUUAAAAUUCCUAUUUGCUAUCAGAAGAGAUUAUGUUAAACUAGCCGUACUUGGGCUGGAGGUACCUUAAAGACAUACUGCAAUGACAAAAAGCAUUACCAACGUGAGGAUGCAAUUGCCUUUCAUGGGAGCUUAGCUUCCAGGAAGGGAGCAAGUCUGCGGGGUGCUCUUGGUGUGUGGUCACAGGGGACUUUCAGCUGAGCCUCCUUCAGGCUGCCAUGCUGGGAAGCUCAAAGCCUCACCACUACAAUCACCCUACAGCAUCUGCUGGCCCCCAGAGCAUCAUCUCUGCAGCACCAC